GGACCCGUAGCUCAGUUGGUUAGAGCGCUUGCUUGACAUGCAAGAGGUCGAUGGUUCGAGUCCAUUCGGGUCCA
rnacentral:tRNA from 2 species